GGGCAUUUGGUCUAGUGGUAUGAUUCUCGCUUUGGGUGCGAGAGAUCCUGCAUUCGAUUCUUGGAAUGCCCC
rnacentral:tRNA from 1 species